AAGGCUUUAGCUUAAUUAAAGUAUCUGCUUUGCAUGCAGAAGAUGUGGGAUAAUACCCUGCAAGUCUUA
rnacentral:tRNA from 1 species